rnacentral:rRNA from 1 species
CAUAAGGGUGCUUGACUGCGAGACAGACACGUCGAGCAGGUGCGAAAGCAGGUUCUAGUGAUCCGGUGGUUCUGUAUGGAAGGGCCAUCGCUCAACGGAUAAAAGGUACUCCGGGGAUAACAGGCUGAUACCGCCCAAGAGUUCACAUCGACGGCGGUGUUUGGCACCUCGAUGUCGGCUCAUCACAUCCUGGGGCUGAAGUCGGUCCCAAGGGUAUGGCUGUUCGCCAUUUAAAGUGGUACGCGAGCUGGGUUUAGAACGUCGUGAGACAGUUCGGUCCCUAUCUGCCGUGGGCGUUGGAGAUUUGAGAAGGGCUGCUCCUAGUACGAGAGGACCGGAGUGGACGCACCUCUGGUGUUCCGGUUGUCACGCCAGUGGCAUUGCCGGGUAGCUAUGUGCGGACGGGAUAACCGCUGAAAGCAUCUAAGCGGGAAGCCCCCUUCAAGAUGAGAUCUCCCCGAGGCCUCGAGCCUCCUGAAGGGCCCAGCGAGACCAGCUGGUUGAUAGGCACGGUGUGGAAGCGCUGCAAGGCGUUGAGCUAACGUGUACUAAUGGCCCGUGAGGCUUGACCAUAUAACACCCAAAGGGU